CUUACACACGAAUCAGCAAGAAAAGAAAAAUAGACAUUCCUCGGCAAUUUCACUCCUUAUAUAAAAGAUUGACAAUGUUAUACUAUACGGGCUUGUUUAGAUGGUACACGACACGGAUCUAGUGUGGACGAGUCAAUUAUGAUAAUAGGAGGAUUAAGAGUUCCUAAAAGACGCUGAAAUAUCAUUGGAAAUGUCACGGGGAUCAAUGAUCUCGCUCUCUAAAGUAACUCCCUAAAAAAAUAGUGUCAAGUAGACCACAAGAAAAGAAAGUGUACCAUUAUCAUUCUACCCUUAAAGAAUUGAUGGUGGAUGUUUUAUCCAUAUCAUUUAACCCUUCAUUAAUUUUUCCAAGAGCAUUAUC